rnacentral:rRNA from 1 species
GACGAAGGUGGCGAGCGUUGUUCGGAAUCACUGGGCAUAAAGCGCACGUAGGCGGCGGCGUAAGUUGGAUGUGAAAUCCCCCGGCCUAACCGGGGAACUGCGUCCAGUACUGCGUUGCUUGAGGAUCCAAGGGGUGCAUGGAAUUCUCGGUGGAGCGGUGAAAUGCGUUGAUAUCGGGAGGAGCUCCGGCGGCGAAAGCGGUGCACUGGUGGAUUACUGACGCUGAGGUGCGAAAGCCAGGGGAGCAAACGGG